rnacentral:lncRNA from 1 species
CAGGUACAUGUGCAUUUAUUUAAUAUAUACAUACGCAUUGUUACAUAUAAAUAUCAUAUAUUGAAUACCUCUUCCCAGGUCUUGGUUGUUAGGUCACAAAAAGUUCCAGUCCCCAAAGUAGCAAUGCUGAUGACAGUGACUCAAUUGAUCCCCACCUGAGCUUGGUUUUGCUAGGAAACAGAAACCAAAAGCUUUUCUCAGAAACCCUUAAUGGCUGUCUGAUUGCUCCUGACUGCAGAUGUCAACACCUGAAUGCUUCUGGCCACAACUGAAGCACCUCUUCUGUCUAGCUGCCUCCCCGCCUCAUAUACCUCUAAAUAACCCAGUAAGCUUUUACAGUUGGCUGCUGUUCUCUCCUGUCCAAGGUAGCAGGACAGUUUUCUUUUAUUAAAACUGUUCUUUCUACCCUUGUAGAAUGGAUGUGUUUAGUGGUUUCGGAAUGUGCCUGCUUAUGUUUGUGGCUAAGACCCAGAGGCAUGCCUGUGUCUUCUUUUGCAUAUCUUAUCCCUCUUUUAACCAAAUCAAAAGGAAAAAAGCAGAAUGAGACAAUACAAAAUAACAACAAACCCUGAAAAUUCAUCCCUCUCGUGGUAAAAGCAUUUCCUCUGCUUGCCUCUGCCCCCACUAUAUUUGACUCCAAAGUUCAGUGUCUCUUCAGCUGUUUCUCUCUUCCACUUCCACGCACAGUCCUCUCUCCUCACCUACUUGAGUGAGUUCCCCACAGGGCUGCCUGCCUACAUUCUACUGCUUUAUAAAUCUAUACAGUAUGCUAGGCUAAACCAGGUACCGUCAUCUUGUUGAAGAUGCCCAUCUCUUCUGAUCUGGGCAUUCUCCUGAGGAACCACUUGUGAAUGCCCCCUUAGAGCAGUUUCUGUCUUAUUUUCACUCAGUGCUCUGCCCCCGCUGUAUCUCUUUGUUCUAAACUUCUUUUACCUUAUUAUCUGUAAUCCCUAUCUCCUGAUGAUUAUAUAUAUUAUUGGUGUUUUGUUCUAGUUGAUCUCCUGUCACAGCCCCCAGUGACUGAACUCAGAAAGAAGAAAAUCCCCUAACCAUUUUCUAUGUACUCUUAGCCCUAGUACUGGGAUUCUUUUUCUGCAACUCCCUCCUCAGGACUCCUCAUUGACCAUGGGUUCCUGCCAAUCUAAGUCAGACACUGCCACUCCUCUUGCUUGUCUCCUCAAGUCUCUUUCCUCUUUUGGAGUCUAUGAUGUCAUUAAUCCCUAGCUCCUUGUUUUGCACUCCAACAUGACUUGCCUCAAUACAAGCUUGAAAAUCAGUGUUAGUGGUCCAGAAACUGAUACAUUCAACUUCCUAACUCACACAGAUUGUAAUAAGUUCUGACACCAUGUAAGCAAAGUAUCCAAAACCCUUUAUCUCUGGUGUUUACUUUAAAUUAAAAAAAUUCUUCUCCCAUACAUUAUAUCUCACCCAAAGUUUCCCCUUUUCUCCUCCCAGUCCCUCCCAAUUCUCUCCCUGAACCCUCCAAUCUACACUCUAUUCUGUUUACAUUCAGAAAAGAACAGCCCCUCUUCCCAAAUAUCAACUAAACAUGGCUUAUUAAGUUGCAAUAAGGCUAGGUACUUCUCUUCAUAUUAAGACUCGACAAGGUGGGAGAGGAAAGUGUCCCCAAAGUGGGCUAAAGAGUCAGAGAGCACCUGCUCUCACUGUCAGGAAUCUUACAAGAAGACCAAGUGACACAACCAUAGCAUGUAUGCAGAGACCCCAGUUCAGACCCACACAGGUUCCCUGAUAGAUGUUUCCAUCUCUUUGAGCCCCUGUGAGCCCAAGUUAGUUGCCUCUGUGGGCCUUUUUGUGAUGUCUUUGAACCUGCUGGCUGCUUCCAUUUGUUGCUGUCUUUCUGUAGGGGAUGUGUGGUGUGGACUCUGCUACCAGAAGGGAUAAGAAAGAAAUGGAGAUGUGGGGUAUACUCAAACUCUGGUGAUCUCAGAGAUCUGAGAGGGCAGGAGUGGUGCUGUGCCCUCCCUGCCUCUGGGCCUGUUCUGGAAUGCCUAUGACCUCCAACUGAGGGGACCACAGAUACUCAGUCACCCAGCACAGCACCUGGAACGCCUCUGCAUGUUAUUGGGGUAUCUCAGCAGCCUUAAUUCCUGGAUAUGCCCAUGCCAACCACUCUGCAAAAUAUAUGAUCUCUGGUCCCUCCCCCAGAAGUGUAUGCAUUCACAUCCAAUCAAGCAUGAACAAGUUAAGUCAUUUCAGAGAUCUCUUUCUUUAGAGAUUGAAAAAGAGAGGCAGGACACUAAUACUCUUGAAGAAGGCCUUCUUUUCUCCCACCCCUUCAGUACUCAGCACUAUCUCCUAGUUGGACUAGAUACUAUUCUUCUUGGGCCCUGCUCUCCCCUUCAGGACUGGCAUUCAGCCCUGUUCUUAUCCCUAGAAGGGAAACUCCAGAUGUGGACUCUUUAUUCUCUCUGAGUUGAUGUAUUGUUGGCUCCCAGACUGCUGGUGCUAGCAAUUAGGCUGUGAGUCUCUGCUCCUGUUUCUACCAGUUGCUGGAUGGAGUCUUGAUGGUGGUGGUGGUGGUGGUGGUGGUGGUGGUGGUGGUGGUGGUGGUGGUGGUGGUGAUGAUGAUGAUGAUGCACCAUGGUGGUGGUGAUGAUAGGUUCCUUCCACGUCUGCCAUCUGAAGCCUUGGUCCUACAGCUGUCUCAUCUCUUAGGUUUUAUCAUCUUCAAGGUGGACAGUGGACUCCCAUGUAUGCCUUCAUGAAAACUGCAAGCAUCUUUCUUGCCAUAGAACUCGACAGCUCACUGAGACAUUUCUGUAGCUCAUUUCUAUGAUUUUUUGGACAAACAAGGGCAUCUUCUGAUUUCACAGAAAAGUCUGUUAAGGUAGUCCAGAUAUCACAAACAGGCCCAGGAUAUGUGGUGUGUUUAUCAGAAAGGAAACCAAAGAGUUUUGUGGGGUUUCACAGUAAAUCCUUGGAGACUCUAAAGUGGGGAAGGUGGUUUGCUCUGACUCACACACAGCAGAUUUAAUGUUCAGGGGUGAAGUGCCCAGCACAUGAAAUGCCAGUGUGAGGAGUGAGUCACCUCUCUGUCACUUCAGGAGCUUUUCUUGAAACACAGCUUUGGAACUUCAAAAGUAACACAAAGAGGCAUGUGUGGAUUUUGGUUUUGCUUUGCCUGUUAAGUUUUUGAAGGGAAUGUCUGGAAGGCCAUCUCUACAGAUGGAAAGAAGUGGUACCACUUCUUAGGAGACUAUAGGACAGCUGCAGGCCUGCUGAUCAUCUGCUGCUGAGUAACCUGGAAGGAUCCUUUAUCUGUCCUCUUCCUGGUGCCCAGUGGCCUCCCAUGUGGGAGAGCCAUGUGAUGGUUCCUGUUUGGAAUGGUGCAUGUAACCAUUUUAUUGUGAGCUUCCUUCCAAUCAGAGCUGUUUGUAACUUCAACCAGGAUCUUGCCGAGCUCCCAAGCCUUUGCUGAAACUUGAGUCCUUAUCUCAGCAGGCAGGGGGCUGAAGGUUAGGAGCUCGAUUUAUAGACUCAUAAACUGGGUUUCAAAGAGUUGAGGAAAUUUGCUGAAUUGAGAGAGAUCUGGAGGUCCUCCAAUAGCUCCUCUGACUAAAACUGCCAAAGCUAGCCAGGCCACAAGUUGAGGGCCAUCAG